rnacentral:rRNA from 1 species
GGCCGCGGUACCCUAACCGUGCAAAGGUAGCGUAAUCACCUGUCUAUUAAUUGUAGACCCGUAUGAAUGGCAAAAUGAGGGUUUAGCUGUCUCUUGCAGUAAAUCAAUUAAACUGAUCUCCCAGUCCAAAAGCUGGAAUACAAACAUAAGACCAGAAGACCCUGUGAAGCUUAAACUAAAACAUUAAAACAUAUAAUACCUCCUUUCGGUUGGGGCGACCUUGGAAAAAAACAGAACUUCCAAAAAAUGACCUACUAUCAACCACAAGGCAAACAAGCCAACAAUAGACCCAGUUCAAACUGAGCAUUGAAACAAGUUACUCCAGGGAUAACAGCGCUAUCUUCUUCAAGAGCCCAUAUCAAAAAGAAGGUUUACGACCUCGAUGUUGGAUCAGGACAUCCUAGUGGUGCAGCAGCUACUAAAGGUUCGUUUGUUCAACGAUUAAUAGUCCCACGUGAUCUG